UUAACCCAAACAGGUCUAUGAAUAAGAGAAAAAAGCAAAUGGUUGCUUCGCAAGAUACUUAUAUGAUAACAUCUUGUAAUUUCUCUAUUUGUGAUACUACUACUUGGAUAUUAAAAAUUGAAAGUCUGAUUAAGAUAUGCAAUUCAUUGCAGGAACGACAAGUAACUAGAAAGUUUUGAGAGGGCGAGUGGUUCCUUAAC
rnacentral:lncRNA from 1 species